UGGGGAAUUUUGGACAAUGGGGGAAACCCUGAUCCAGCCAUCCCGCGUGUGCGAUGAAGGCCUUCGGGUUGUAAAGCACUUUUGGCAGGAAAGAAACGUCAUGGGUUAAUACCCCGUGAAACUGACGGUACCUGCAGAAUAAGCACCGGCUAACUACGUGCCAGCAGCCGCGGUAAUACGUAGGGUGCAAGCGUUAAUCGGAAUUACUGGGCGUAAAGCGUGCGCAGGCGGUUCGGAAAGAAAGAUGUGAAAUCCCAGAGCUCAACUUUGGAACUGCAUUUUUAACUACCGGGCUAGAGUGUGUCAGAGGGAGGUGGAAUUCCGCGUGUAGCAGUGAAAUGCGUAGAUAUGCGGAGGAACACCGAUGGCGAAGGCAGCCUCCUGGAAUAACACUGACGCUAAUGCACGAAAGCGUGGGGAGCAAACAGG
rnacentral:rRNA from 1 species